CUGAAAUCUGAUCUAGUGUUUUUAAGUUUGUCUGAUUCUAGUAUUUAUAGAGAAGGUAGCGCCUUUCGCAACGGCUAUAUUUCUCUUAAGUUUCGAGGUUUCGAUCGCCACAAAAACACGUGCGUUUCUCCUAACGGUAAUAAUUCUGGAAUCGAACCGGCCUUGCAACCACCUAAACCGGUCUUGCAAGUUCUUGUCGAAGAUGGUGAGCUAUACUAACUGAUGAAGAAGAAGAAGAGCUAUAUGACUUCUUAAUCUAAAGACAGAUCUUUGCUUUCAGUUCUAGACUAUUUGCGUUUCAGGCUUCUUCUUGUGAGAAGUGAGUGCCUUAGAUUUUUAUGUUUGUGUAAUUCAGCUGAGAUAACUAGAAAUGAUGAAGAUGGGGGUUGUCAUAGAUGCGAUCAGUCAAGGAUCUCUGUGUAUGUUUAUCAUACCCAUUCCUCAAAGGAUUCAUAUAUCCUAGUGGUUGUGUCUUCCACUUUCUGGUAAAAUUUAGUCUAUGUAGAUGUGUGUGCUCAGAGAUUCAUUCACCUAUAAACUACCAUCUCUCAAAUUUGAUCUGGCAUUUUGUAUCUUUGACCAGUUUAAUUUUUCAAUAUACUCAGUGUGUCUCUUGUACUGUUUAUCUCAGCAACAUGGCUCUCAGGCUGAUACAACCGAGUCCAUGUUGGAGUGAACCGAGCUUAGUUCCUGAAUGUUUGUUAUCGAGUCUUGAAACUCUCGAAUGAGCAGAUUAUGAAGAUAAAAAAAGAAGUGGUGAAGGAUAUGUGUGAAAACAAAUAACAUUGUAUCUCUAACGAUUAAUAAGAAUCGACUGGAUACAAUAUUUGAUGUGUGUUUACAUUAUACAACCCACACCUUAGUUUCUAUAAUUAAUUAUAUUAUACAAAAAGUUCCAAAAAAAUUUGAUUUUAUUUUGAAAAAUAUAAUAAAGAGAAUCUACGUAA